AACCUUGGUCAAGGAUGAACUCGCGGCCUAUCAGCUAGUUGGUGAGGUAACGGCCCACCAAGGCGACGACGGGUAGCCGGCCUGAGAGGGUGACCGGCCACACUGGGACUGAGACACGGCCCAGACUCCUACGGGAGGCAGCAGUGGGGAAUAUUGCACAAUGGGCGAAAGCCUGAUGCAGCAACGCCGCGUGAGGGACGACGGCCUUCGGGUUGUAAACCUCUUUUAGCAGGGAGGAAGCGAAAGUGACGGUACCUGCAGAAAAAGCACCGGCUAACUACGUGCCAGCAGCCGCGGUAAUACGUAGGGUGCAAGCGUUGUCCGGAAUUAUUGGGCGUAAAGAGCUCGUAGGCGGUUUGUCGCGUCUGCUGUGAAAAUCCGAGGCUCAACCUCGGACCUGCAGUGGGUACGGGCAAACUAGAGUGCGGUAGGGGAGAUUGGAAUUCCUGGUGUAGCGGUGGAAUGCGCAGAUAUCAGGAGGAACACCAAUGGCGAAGGCAGAUCUCUGGGCCGUAACUGACGCUGAGGAGCGAAAGCGUGGGGAGCGAACGUUUUAGAUACCCUGGUAGUCCACGCCGUAAACGGGGGCCUCUUUGGGGUCCGUUCCACGGAUUCCGUGUCGCAGCUAACGCAUUAAGUCCC
rnacentral:rRNA from 1 species